GGCUAUUCCUCGCGCGCGCGAGUGCAGUCCGACCUAUCGUAGAAGGGGUUCCGUCGCGCGCGCACGUUCCGUUGACCGCCCUCGUUUCUUCUUUCUGCGUUUCACCAGGCCCAUUAAGUUAUUUCGGCCCAUAUAAACCAGCGUCUUUUCUUCUGCUUCAUUUCCCGAUCAGCUGCUUAGGGUUUCGAUUCGCUUCGGCGGCGGCUGCGCUUUCGAUUCGCUGGCGUACUUGAUGCUGUUAGGCGAUUCCAUUUCUGCGCAGUCCAAGCUAUGGUUACGAACAUGGAUCGUUUGAAGGUUCGCUUUUCCAGCAAGUGUUUUAAAAAAGUAGCUGAUUCUCUCUCUGAAGAUCAAAAAGGCUUUGUUGUUAAGCAUGGCUUUCAGAAUCUUUUGGGUGUUCAGAAGUUCAGUGUACCUAUCCCUUUACUGGAAUGGGUGAUGGGUCAGGUUGUUGUAGAUCUUUGUGAGUUUAAGCAUAGAACCAAGUCUUUCAAGCUCUCCAGAUACAUGGUUCAGCAAAUUCUUGGAAUUCCAUCCGGAGAUAUUCCAAUUGAUCUUCAUAAUCCAGUCCCCAAGAUCUGUGACCAAGCUACUCAGCAUAAUUCUCUCUUUAUGCAUGGUUCUAAACUUCCAAUUCCUGAAGCUAUUGAUAGACUUCUUGCUGACCAUGAUGAGGAAUCUUUUAUGAGGAUGUUCAUGUUUGUUGCUCUUUCUACUGUUAUUUGCCCUUCCACUUAGAAUUUUAUUAACCUCAAUUAUUGGCGUGCAACCUGAAAAAGAUUGUCUGGUUCAUAUUCCUUGUUUUAUUGACAAACAAUGGGUCAUAAUUGUUGUCAACUUUAACAAAAGAAGGUUUGAUAUAUUAUCUCCAGAAUAUGGUGCAGAUAAAACAAUGAAAGUGAUUAAUUCUGUGGUAUACAACUUUAGACUUUUCUUUAUAUUGGGCUUUCCAUCUUUCCAAAUUUUCAACAUCCGUGACUUCACUGUAUGCUAUAUUUACGUUCCAAAACAACAAUCCAUAUCGGACUCUGGCAUAUUUGUUACUUGUUUCAUGGAAUCUUUUGAUGGAACGAACAUCACCUGGUUCACAAAGUCUGACAUCCAAGCCAUACGAGAGAAGAAACUAUUUCAGUUAAUAUUCAGUAAGGAAAACAAAGCAAGGGCUCAAGUAGUUUCAAACUUCAAGAAACAAUAUAAUGUAGGAGAGUAUUAGUAAGAGGCCAUUUUGUGGAAGACUGAACAACUGUUCCAUCAAUGCAGCUGUUAUGUUUCAAACUUUCUAGCCAGUACAAAUAUAGUGUAGCUUAUUAUCAACAUGGAAUCUAUCUUUUUAGAUUUUCAGACAUUUUUUAUUUGUAAAUUUUUCUACCUUUAGUUUGUACAAGUUGAAUUUACUUGUUUCAUUCUACAGUUGGUUGAGAACACUCUGAAUUGUAUGGCGUUUUGAAAUGCUUUUUGAUAGAACAAAAUGUUCCAACA